GACAUGAAUCUCUAAUUCUUAGGUAUGGUAAGGUAAAACAGCAAACCCAGAAAACUAUCUUACAUUGUAAGUAGUAAAAGAAUGAUAAAAGGUGAUAACUAAAGGAGAACAGAGAGCUCUUCUUCAGGUAGUAUAUGUGGGUUUCGCUGCUCUGAGUUUUGUAGUUGUGCCCAUUGCCCCUUAGUAUCCACAGUACACAAGAAACAUUAACUAAAACCAAUUUCACAUAACCUGAAACCACAAAAAAAGACAACCUGGGUGUGAAUACUCAAAGCUUGGAGACCAAAGAUAAAAACCUGCUCUAAACAAAGAAGUUCGUAAAUGAGAUUCAAAAUAAAUGGGUCGUCUCAUUGGUUUCAUAAAUGAUAUGGAAAAAAUCACCCAAUGCGUACAAUCUACUAUUGCUUCAUACAUAACACAUGCUUUUCUUAGUUAAUUUGUUACCGCACAUAAAGACAAACUUGAGUUAUUCUGUUCAAACAUACAACCAGAAGAAGCUGAAAAUAUUGCAUAUUUAAAAGCACAAGAUGUACAACAUGCAGAAACAAAUGAUGCUUAAGCCUGUUAAGGAAACUGUACCAUUUCAGCAUCAGAACCUUUCAACUUUAGAGAGCUCCGAAUAAUAUAUCUAGCAAUUGGGUCCUGUAGAUGAUGCAACAAAUUUUGUAAUGUAAUUGCUUAAAAGAGUUAGCUUUGUUAAGGCACCUAAUAUCCAACUUUAGCUUUCUUACAGAAGAACUGACCAAAGUAUUCUCUAGACAACAAUUCAACAAAAUUUAAGCAAAUAAUGAAAGUAAUCAUGUUUAUUUGUCAUUUUGAAAGGUUAUGUUACUUCCAGAAACCACACCUCCAUCAAUAUUUUCUGUCUGGCCAUGGUGUAGAUUUGUUCAUGUUGUGUUGUUUUUCAUUUGCUCUUGACUGUUAUAUUUUGUCAGACAGAGAAAAAGCUAGACAACCAACAAAUAAAACCAGGCAAUAAAGAUGUACUUUGUCAAAAAGGAGACAAUGCCAAUACCUUGUUUCACAGUAAAGCGCCAACAAAACAACAAAGACAAAGAAGAAUCUGCUCUUUGGAACCUAACCAGACCUAAGAAUCUCUCUUUGACAGCAAGGCACCAAUAAAACAACAAAAGACUAAAAAAUCUCUUUAGAACCUAGCUAGACCUGAGGAUCUCCUAAACAAGAAGAAACCAAAAAUCUUUGCGAGGCUAACAAAUGCAUGAAUAAGAGCACAAGCAAGCGUAGGUCUGGAGAACUGAGAAUAGAAGAAAAGAGAUCAACCUGCAGAGCGGCGACUGAAGACACAUCAGGACAAAUCGACCAAAGCCACGAGCACUCCCAGCAGACCAACCUGCAAGGGAAAUCAGGCAAAUCAAGGAUGAGCUCCGGCCAACCAGAUCUGGGACGGUCGAAAACGAACCAGCACGUAUAGAUCGAGGUUCACAACAACAGAUCCGGCGCACAGACUGCUAGAAUAGAGGACCUGCAACAAACCCGAUCUAAAAUUAGUCAAGCACGGCCACGGCAAUGAAAAAAAUUGGAUCCGAGAGAAGAGGCCACCUUAACAAACCACGCGACACACCGAUGCCAUUGAAUCCACGGCCCCCAAUCCGACACACCAAGCGAGCAGCAGCACGACAGGAAUCAGCAAGGAGCAGCAGGCGCAAAAGAACAAAAUGGAUCAAUCCAACAUUCAGUACCUGAGAGCUAAAGCUAUAAUUUGUCAACCAAAUGAAGCAAAUGAUUCACAUUAUACCUAAUCCUAUUUAAGUGCUAAAAGGUUACCAUAGCUAUUUCUAAAUAACUGGAUAUGGAAGAGAAGUAGAACAAAAGCAACACAUAUGGCCUUUUGAAUGAUGCAACUACAUCAAUGCUACCUCUGAAUAUAAAAUUAGCAGAUUGGGACAACACAUGUCUAUAGAAAACAAAGAGAUUAGCCAAAACAAAAAAGUGAUGUUAUGUAUAGAACACUGAUUAGAUCAUGUGAAGUCUAAAGUAAGAGUUUGACACCAAUAGUAGGAAAGACUUUUUUAUCU
rnacentral:lncRNA from 1 species